rnacentral:rRNA from 1 species
CGCGUAGGUGGGAUAGUAAGUCUGCUUUAAAAGUGCGGGGCUCAACCCCGUGAUGGGGUGGAAACUGCUAUUCUUGAGUGCAGGAGAGGAAAGCGGAAUUCCCAGUGUAGCGGUGAAAUGCGUAGAUAUUGGGAGGAACACCAGUGGCGAAGGCGGCUUUCUGGACUGUGUCUGACACUGAGGCGCGAAAGCUAGGGGAGCGAACGGGAUUAGAUACCCCGGUAGUCCUAGCCGUAAACGAUGGGUACUAGGUGUAGGGGGUAUCGACCCCCCCCUGUGCCGGAGUUAACGCAAUAAGUACCCCGCCUGGGGAGUACGGCCGCAAGGUUGAA